CCCCCCUCGCGGAUCCAACAGCAGCGGCUAGGUCAGGGUCGGAGAUGGCGCAUCGGCCAUCCGAUUCCGCCGGUCGUAGAUCAAACAGAGGGCGUGAUAAAGUCCAGCAGAAGUGGUGGCCGGGAUUUUUAUUGUUAAUUCGAUCUACAAAACAGUGAUCAAUAUAGUAUAUGUGCAGUAAAAUAGACAUGUUGCUGAUAGUGUUGUAGUAGUGUGUGAUUUGGUUGCAUAGUUUUCUAAUGGAAACAAGUGAAAAACUCUUUGAUUUUCUGAUUUCUUUAUGCUUGCAGAGAGGUUCCACGACUUCGGUUUGGCUAUCAUCAAAAUUGGAGGAGAGCCCGAUGCAUUGGAGAGCAUCAUCCGCGAGUUCCACAGGAUCGAAUUGAGGAGGCAUUAUAACCUGGCAUCAUUUGGAUGACUUUGUCAGUAGGAAGAAUGGCUAACAUGCCUGUUAAAGCUAGAUAAACGCGUAUUGAAGGAACUGGGGUAUGUCCGCCAUGUUGAACACCCUCACAAUGACGGGUACCAUACAAUGUUAGCGAGGACAGUGAUUGGGGGAUUGAUAUUUUCGAAGUAAAGAGGUGCUUGGAGGAGGCACGCGUCGCAGGUUUGACUGUUUGGGCUAUGGUGAUCAUAAACCCCGGAUAACCGACGGAACAGGUACUUUCUGUGACCAACCAGGAGGAGAUAGUAGAAUUUUGUCGAAAAGAAGGUUUGGUUAUGCUUGCCGAUGAAGUUUGCACUUGGUGAACUGCGGUAGUUUUGUGACGCGGACGCGUGUGUAGACAUCCUACAUUUGUAUAAAUGCGUUUACAGGUAUACCAAGACAAGCUCUAUAUGGAGGACAUGAAGUUCAAUUCUUUCAGGAAAGUUGCCAGAUCACUUGGGUAUGACGAGAAUGGUAUAUCCAUAGUGUCAUUUCAUUGGGGGGGUACUCUGGAGUAUGUGGCAGAAGGGGAAGCUACAUGUUGAUAUGUAAAAUUCCCUUCACGACUCGUUUAGGAAUAACAGAGUUUUAGAGAUGAUGUGAUGGGUGAGAUUCGCAAGGUGGCUUCUGUGACUCUUUGCCCCAACAUAAAUGGUGACUUGCGAUGGAUCCACCGAAGUAUAGAUCUGCGAUUGACAUUUUUAUUGGACCACUGGGUGAGCAUUUGCAACAAAGAGCCAGGGAGUAAGCUGGGAGCGGACAAACAUAAUGCCCUGAACAUGAGUUUGUCCUUGCAUAAUUAUCCAUGUCUGAUGGUACUACACCGCUUUAGUUUGUCCUUGUAUUAUCUCUUAUUGAUAAAAAAUGUCCAGAACAAAGAAAUGAUGAAUUGUAGUAUAGCCAUUUUUGUAGUUGAAAAUUAUGUCUAAAAUUGAUCAUCACAUAGUAUGCUGGCAACUUGCAGGGUCGAUGAGACAUUGAUUGCCAUAUUGCUUUUCCAUCUUAUUCACAUCUUAUGAAUAUAUCUUUAACAAUA